GGGGGUUCGAUUCCUUCCUUUCUUG
rnacentral:tRNA from 1 species